rnacentral:rRNA from 1 species
GUGGGGAAUCUUCCGCAAUGGACGAAAGUCUGACGGAGCGACGCCGCGUGAGUGAAGAAGGCCUUCGGGUCGUAAAGCUCUGUCAUCAGGGACGAACGGCCGGUGGAGUGGAAAGCCACCGGAUUGACGGUACCUGAGAAGGAAGCCCCGGCUAACUCCGUGCCAGCAGCCGCGGUAAUACGGAGGGGGCUAGCGUUGUUCGGAAUUAUUGGGCGUAAAGCGCGCGCAGGUGGGAUCUUAAGUCCAUUUUGAAAGUUCGGAGCUCAACUCCGUGAUGGGAUGGAAACUGGGAUUCUUGAGUACCGGAGAGGAAAGCGGAAUUCCCCGUGUAGCGGUGAAAUGCGUAGAUAUGGGGAGGAACACCAGUGGCGAAGGCGGCUUUCUGGACGGUGUCUGACACUGAGGCGCGAAAGCUAGGGGAGCGAACGGGAUUAGAAACCCGAGUAGUCC